rnacentral:rRNA from 1 species
AUUGAACGCUGGCGGCAUGCCUUACACAUGCAAGUCGAACGGCAGCGGACCUUCGGGUGCCGGCGAGUGGCGAACGGGUGAGUAAUACGUGAGAAACCUGCCCUGGAGUGGGGAAUAACUCGGGGAAACUCGAGCUAAUACCGCAUACCCUCGGAUGGUUGCAUGGCCGACCGAGGAAAGAUUUAUCGCUUCAGGAGGGUCUCGCGGCCUAUCAGCUAGUUGGUGGGGUAACGGCCUACCAAGGCAACGACGGGUAGCUGGUUUGAGAGAACGAUCAGCCACACUGGGACUGAGACACGGCCCAGACUCCUACGGGAGGCAGCAGUGGGGAAUCUUGCGCAAUGGGCGAAAGCCUGACGCAGCAACGCCGCGUGCGGGAUGACGGCC